AUGAACCUUCGGGGCAGGGUGAGAUUCCCUACCGGCGGUGACGAUUGCCCGUGCAAUUCAGCCCGCGACUCGACGUAACCAUUAUUGUUGCGCCGAUUGACUUGGUGAAAUUCCAAGGCCGACGGUAUAGUCCGGAUGAGAGAAGGAACAA
rfam:Desulfosporosinus sp. OT TOT.assembly.110, whole genome shotgun sequence.